GCCCUCUUAGCCCAAUUCGGCAGAGGCAACGGUUUUAGAAACCGUCGAGUGUGGGUUCGAGUCCCAUAGAGGGUA
rnacentral:tRNA from 1 species